rnacentral:rRNA from 1 species
UCUCAGACUCCUACGGGAGGCAGCAGUGGGGAAUAUUGCACAAUGGGGGAAACCCUGAUGCAGCGACGCCGCGUGAAGGAUGAAGUAUUUCGGUAUGUAAACUUCUAUCAGCAGGGAAGAAAAUGACGGUACCUGACUAAGAAGCCCCGGCUAACUACGUGCCAGCAGCCGCGGUAAUACGGGGGGUGCAAGCGUUGUCCGGAAUCAUUGGGCGUAAAGCGUUCGUAGGCGGUAUGUCAAGUCUGAUGUUAAAGCCCGGGGCUCAACUCCGGUUCGGCAUUGGAUACUGGCAAACUAGAAUGUGGUAGAGGUAAAGGGAAUUCCUGGUGUAGCGGUGAAAUGCGUAGAUAUCAGGAGGAACAUCGGUGGCGAAAGCGCUUUACUGGACCAUUAUUGACGCUGAGGAACGAAAGCCUGGGGAGCAAAUGGGAUUAGAUACCCCUGUA